GAACGCUAGCGACAGGCCUAACACAUGCAAGUCGAGGGGCAGCACAAGGAGCAAUCUGAGGUGGCGACCGGCGCACGGGUGAGUAACACGUAUGCAACCUGCCUGUAAGCGGGGAAUAACCCGUUGAAAGACGGACUAAUACCGCAUAAUACUAAAUUACUGCAUGGUAAUUUAUUUAAACAUUUAUGGCUUACAGAUGGGCAUGCGCAUGAUUAGCUAGUUGGAGAGGUAACGGCUCCCCAAGGCAACGAUCAUUAGGGGUUCUGAGAGGAAGGUCCCCCACACUGGUACUGAGACACGGACCAGACUCCUACGGGAGGCAGCAGUGAGGAAUAUUGGUCAAUGGACGAGAGUCUGAACCAGCCAAGUCGCGUGCAGGAAGAAUGUCCUAUGGAUUGUAAACUGCUUUUGCAGGGGAAUAAAGUGCAUCACGUGUGAUGUUUUGUAUGUACUCUGCGAAUAAGGAUCGGCUAACUCCGUGCCAGCAGCAGC
rnacentral:rRNA from 1 species